rnacentral:tRNA from 1 species
GGGCGCUUAGCUCAGCUGGUUUAGAGCAUCUGCCUUACAAGCAGAGGGUCGGCGGUUCGAAUCCGUCAACGCCCACAA